UUUCAUGUUCUGGAGGAUAUGUUGAUAUUUCCAUCUUAUUUAGAAAAGUUUGGAUUGUUAAUGAAAAGAACAUCACCAAUAAAUCUGAAAGUGAAAUUAGAUAAUGAUCUGUCUUCUUUAAUCUUCAUGUUUUGACAAGUUUCUGAAGGAACUCCGAUUUAUAUAAGAAUAAAAAUUAGUCCGCAGCGAAAGAUGCACAGUAUGUUCCCAUAGAAAUUCCAACAAUAUGCAGACAAAUUAUACGUUCAAAUUCAACAAAUAUGUUUUCAAUAAGAAACUCAUACUGAUCACUUGUUCCUCGGUAUAUCAUGUUUUACCUUUUAUUUCAUUUAUAACAAAACAUAUGGUAUCCUAAAGCAAAAGAUGUUGAGUGUAUGCUACCUUUACUAUAAUGAAAAGCAUUGUGGUUAUUUAUUUUAGACGGUUUUCUGUUUCACAUAUUGAAUUAUGGUGCUUAUAAAGGUUGAAAAGCUAAGGUUUUGAAUAAACUUUAGAAAAAGAUCGAGAUUUAAAUUUGUCCAGAGGUUGUUUAGGGAUUUUUUUGUAAAAAAAAAAGUGAAAUCACAAAUAUACCGAAUUCCGAGGAAAAUUCAAAAAGGAGAGUCCCUAAUCAAAUGGCAAAAUCAAAAGCUAAAACACAUCAAACGAACCGAUAACAACUGCCAUAUUCCAGACUUGAAACAGACAUUUUCUUAUGAAGAAAAUGGUGGAUUGAACCUGGUUUUAUAGGUAGCUAAACCC
rnacentral:lncRNA from 1 species